rnacentral:rRNA from 1 species
AAGUCCUGCAACGAGCGCAACCCCUAUAUUUAGUUGCCAGCACAUAAUGGUGGGGACUCUAGAUAGACUGCCCGGAAUAACCGGGAGGAAGGUGGGGAUGAUGUCAAGUCAGUAUGUCCCUUAUACCCAGGGCUACACACGUGUUACAAUGGAUAGUACAAAAAGUCGCAAUCCCGCGAGGAGGAGCCAAUCUUUAAAACUAUCCCCAGUUCAGAUUGAAGUCUGAAAUUCGACUUCAUGAAGCAGGAAUCGCUAGUAAUCGUAGGUCAGCACACUACGGUGAAUACGUUCCCGGGUCUU